GGGAGCCUCACAGAGCCCGUGGACCGACUGAGGCGAGGAGCGCUGGAAUGUUGUGUCGCUGGGCCGUGGCGUCUGAGCAACACUUUGAUGGAGUAAAACCCGCCGCUGCGAGUUAAAACUGAUCGUUUUUAUUGGGGGGGUGGGGGGGAGGCUUGGGAAGAGAACGAGAGCGCGCGCCCACGCGGAGACUGAAAAAAUAAAAAAAUAAAAUAAAAAUGCUCAUCCAGCGCGAGCGCUGACGGUGUUCGCUUCACACAAAUUCCAAGUUUGGAGCCAUUGUUUGUUUCCCUCCCUUCUUGUUUCUGCUUUGGAGCCUGGAGCAACUUUGGUUUUCGUCGCGUUCGAACCUGCUGUUCGUUUUGACUCGGAGCGUGAAGAGCCGUGGACGAGAUGGAGAGCGAGAAGUACUUGCCGGAGCUUCAGGCGGAGAAGGACUCGCUGGACCCGUCUUUUCAGCACUCCUUGCGGCUGCUGGAGCAAGAGAUCGAAAAAAUCCAGAGAGAUGAGGGGAAGGAGGAGGAGAAGUUCAUCGACGUUGUCAUCAACAAGAACAUGAAACUGGGCCAGAAAGUUUUAAUACCAGUCAAGCAGUUUCCUAAGUUUAACUUUGUCGGCAAGCUCCUCGGGCCACGCGGGAACUCGUUAAAGAGACUACAAGAGGACACCCUCACAAAGAUGUCGAUUCUCGGAAAAGGAUCCAUGAGAGACAAAGAGAAGGAAGAAGAGCUACGGCAGAGCGGCGAGGCCAAAUAUCACCAUCUGAAUGAAGACUUACAUGUCCUCAUCGAGGUAUUCGCCCCGCCGGCUGAGGCCUACGCCAGGAUGGGCCACGCUCUCGAGGAGAUCAAGAAGUUUCUCAUUCCAGACUACAAUGAUGAGAUCAGACAAGCCCAGCUGCAGGAGCUCACAUACCUGAACGGCGGCUCUGAGGAUGCCAAGGUGCCAUCGGUCAGGGGCAAGUCGGCAGCCCGUGGCAGGGGGACACCUGUUCCCGGGCCUCCAAGGAGUCGUGGAGGAGUUCCACCGCUGCAUGCAGCAGUUCCCCGAGGAGCGGCGCCACGAGGAUCUCCGCCCAGUCGGGCCCCAUCCUCCAGAGGAAGAGGAGUCCAAAGAGCCAGAGGCGCCCCUCCAGCUGCUAGCUACAGGGCAGCUCCACCCAUAGUGCAGGACACAUACGGUGAAUAUGAUUAUGACGACGGCUACGGAACCGCUUACGAUGACCAAGGGUACGAGUCUUACGACAACAGCUACAGUAAUCAAGGACAAAACUCAGAUGACUACUAUGAAUAUGGACACAGUGGGGAGUCAUAUGAGUCGUACGGUCAGGAAGAGUGGGCAAACAGUCGCGGCAAGACUCAGUCGGCGCGGACGACCAAGGGAGCAUACAGGGAUCAGCCAUACUCCAGAUACUGAACUGUUUUUACGAGCCGCACCUCCCUCCCCUCACCCUGAUGCCCCAUGGCGGUUUCAACCCAAGCUGAGGUCACAGCUGAACACCACUGUCUGUCCAAACACGCUCCUACCGCUGAAGCAUUAAAGAACAACGGAAGCGUCUUCCUAGAAGCAUUGUCCAAUCGAAUCGGCGUCCAUAUUCACAGAUCUUUGUUUGACCAUUUGUGUGUUUUAAAAAAAAAGAAAAAAAAUUACAAGGUGGACUGUGGUCAUUACUUCAUGGCUUCGAAAAAAAAAAGAUGGAAAGUGACUUGUUUGGAGACGCGGAAAACAGGGUUGGAAGCCACAUCACAUGCAUCACACCUCGUCGUUCUCUGGAGAAAAGAGCAACAAAAAAAAACAAAAUAAAAUGAAGCCGCGAAUGGACUGCAGCGUCCUCCGGGACUCAGAGAAGAAAAAUUCUUUCAGAGCAUCAUUGACUCUCCGUAACUUCUUCACACAUGCAGAACUGUUCUGGAUCGACUGCGAGCCUGAACCCGUCUCUCCCGGUUGUGGCGGAGAAGACGUGUGAAGCCUUGAUUGUAGACGUUAACUGUUGCCUGCCUGGACGGAUGAGUUCGGGAAUAAUGCAGCAUGCCAAGGGAGGAGCGUCGUCAUCCUAAAGGGAUUUCUGUUUCUCUCUCAUUGCUGUCGAGAUUUUCAAUCCGGUGUGCUCGAUAGAAUUAACAGAGAGAAUUAAGUGCCUUUCUGUGACAGUUUUAGACAUUUUUGGGCUAAAGUUCAGCUGCCAGACUAGCCAGCUGUUUCCUUUCCUACUGCGUCACCACGGCGUUAGAGCCUCCUUCUCGUCCUCACAGAAGACGGCGCCCCGUUCCACAUGCGUCGCUUAAUCACGCUCCACUUCGGUGGAUAUUCCAAUUCUGAAAUAGCUUUUCCACCGAUACAGAGCGAGCGCCGUGAGUCCAGACGGACUCAUCCCUAUUCCACACACUUGUAAGUUCUCAAAGGCAGACAAUAGUUUUCCAUUAGAGGAAGCGAUUGCCGGCGGAGCCCCGGGCGCAGCCUCAGACAAUAACACGUUGACUCGGCCUGCCAGAGUCAACGCUCAUCACCUCCAGGGGCUGAUUCCCACUCUGAAGUGGCUUAUAGACACAGGCUUAUCUGAAGUAAGCUUGUCUGAGUUAAUAGAGAAAGAACAGCUCAUUUGAUUAAGAAUGCAUACAAAGGAGGAUGUAGUGAUCUGUGGCUAGGAGACGAGUCAAUUUCAGCUCCAGAAUACAAAUCAAUGUGUCUCUAACAGACCAUAAGACUGCUUAGCUCAGCAAUGAAAUUAGACUGAGGCGAAAUGCUAAAGCAGCGAUGAACUCGUGAAUAAAGGACAACUUUUGCUGAAGAUGUCACAUUGCCCUGGUGUGAUGGUGUGAUGGUGUUUGCGUUACGAUUGUGAGUCAUACGUGAACUCAUGUUUGCUUCACCAUAGCCAUGCUGUUUAGUUAUGUUCAUAAGGGCCACCUUCCGCUGGAAUGAUUGUUGUGUAGCUAACAAUUAAUCUGACUCGAGUUAGCAGGUACAGAAUCCUCCGAUUGCUUGGUUCCAUUAGGUUCCUCUACUGCAGGAUUUCAUUUCGGGCCACAUCUAGAUCACAAAUGUCUUCAAAUUGUUAAAAAAUGUGCUGAUGAAACCACGUAAAAGCAUUAAAGUAUUAGUAUUAUCUAUUUUCCAGGCACAUAAUGCCAUUUUAUAGCCUAAUCAAAUAAUGUUAACUUCAGUUUUUAUAAAUAUGCUGUUUGUAUCAGAUAUGACUUAAAAGAAAUUUGACUUUGUAUUUCAAUGCCUUGAAGUUGGUCCUCUGUCUCUUUAAGAAGCUCUUGCUCUUUCUGAAACUCCGCCCCAACAGGAAGUCAGUGACACCUGAAAAGCUCGACUGGUCAGGCUGAAAGGUCUUCAUUGCAUUCAUCAUAGAGCCAGCCUGGAGGAAGAAACUGUCCCUGUGGUGGCUAGUUUUUGCAAAUAGUGCCAAGCUGAAGGUCAAAGUUUAAACAGUUUGUGUCCAGGAUGUGUGGGGUCUGCAGAUAUUUAACCUGAUUCCAGAGAGAUAAAUACCUAAUCAUCAAAUCAGCAGCGUUGUCCCUUACAGUUCCAAUGCUUUUUCUGAACAUCGAAAACGAUUAUAAUGGAAUAUAUUAUUUCACUGUGCUAUAUUUAAGUUUGUGUACACAUAAAAAAUUAUCAUGUAUAAUAAUAUUAUGCUGUUUUAGCUUCUGAAGCUGUAACCCAGCAAACAACAUGUUCCAGAUAUUGGCAGGCUCACUUUUAUAAACAUUGGGUAAUUAGGAUUUUAUUCAUGUAUUAAACACAAAUGGAAAAUUCUCAUUAGGGAUGUAACCAGACUCAUGAUAUUAAAACAUGACAGUGUUUCUCAUCAAGGUAAAUGCUAUCUUGUUAGCAAUAACCAUUUGCCUGAUGAUGAUGUUGUAGUAGAAGUUGGUUUAGGUUUCCAGUAGGAACGAUUAAUGGGGACAUAUGGACAGAUGAGACACCAACACUGUAUUAACACUGAAGGAAGCAGAAAGCAACACCGAAACAGCCAAUGGUGGGACGUCCAGCAGUAACGUGGAGAUGCGUCAUGGUCACAGAGAAUGUUGUCAGUAGUUGGUAAGUGUUGGUAAGUAGCUGGUAAAUGUUGUACUGCGGACCAUGCAGUACAAGGAAUCCUAAAAGACAGACAUCUCGUCCCGUCUUGUUCUCUUGAACGCAAUAUCGUGUAUCGUCUUGUGAGUUUUAGGUAUCGUUGCGCCUCUAAUGUUCGUAGAUAAGUGUAAUACUAAACCAUAGGUGCAACCAACAGACCCAAACCCUCAGAAACAUAAAGAAAGAUUUCAUUUUGGCACCUUCAUCUGCAGAGUGCAUUACACGCUUGGCGGCCAUAUUUGAUUUAUGAUCAAAUGUUCAAGUUUUACCGACAUGAACAUUUUAAAGUUUCUACUUCCAUGGGGAAAUAACACUUCUGUAAAAAAGUGUUAUUGGCCAGUAGACUGGCCAAUUUUUCUGAUUUUUGUUGUUGCUGUAAAAAUUCAUCAUUAUAUCGUAAAGAUAGAAAGUUGAGGCUCAUCCAGGUUAACGUCUCAUAGAUCACACACACAUCUUCAAACCCAUGGCAACAAGCAGAAUUAUGUGGGUGCGCCUUAAUGUAUGGUUUAGUAAUUUUUUCUUUUUUUGUUCUCUGAUAAUUCUAAAUGCAUACAGGGGGAGACAGUAAGUCACAGAGUGGGUUGUGUUUCUGGAUAAGACUGAAGGAAAACCACUGCUGUAUUUUUAUUCUUUGACGUCUCCUGUGACUCAGGCUCCGCAGCAGUCAGACUGAAAUUAACCAGAAAUCUGUUCAUCAGGCCGAGAUUCAAACACUUGCAAGUCGAUGGCGACUUCACGUCGAAAGCCGGCGCUAACGUGAGCGCGGGUCAGCAUGUGACGCCUCUGAAGCGGCUGCUGAGAUUGAGAGGGAUCGAUCACUACGGGACUUUGAGUCAACAGGCCCGAUCAAUGGAGCAGCACCGAACACGGAUAUCUGUUCAGCUCAUAUUUGAUACCAUUGAACAAUUCCUGAUUUUUCUGGGAAAUAGAUUUUUUUUUCUCCACAGCUCAAAUGAAAAAAAAAAAAAAAAAGUGCAGAAAAUGAAUACAUAUGUAUCAGAAUAGAGACGUUGUUACAAUAAAACUGUGUAUGGCGAGUCUAUGAUCAGAAAUCCCUGAAUCUUUCAUGUAAUCUGCUGUCUAAGCUUCAAAAAUACAUUUUGCUUGUUGAUGUGGUUUAGGAGCAAUAACGUUUUCCUGCCCGCUGAUUAAAAAGUUCUAUGUCAUAAAGGCAAGCAAAUAAUAAUAAUAAUAAUCAUAAAGACUU